ensembl:ncRNA asRNA:CR45481 antisense RNA:CR45481
UGUGCCCGUCUGGCAGCUCCAAAAUCCCGUUAAGUUGGCGGCAAAUGCGCAAAAAAUUUAAGUACAGUAAAAUUUAUAAUUUGUGGUGAAAUACAACAAUUGAAUGAGACAAAAUGUGAAUUGAAUUUGAACAACGACUUGAUGGACGACUACAGCUCGUUGUGGGCGUGACUGGCGGGCAAAUGGGGCUGCAGGUCCCGCCAAAAGUCGACCCGGUGCUGCAUAAGCUCGUUUUCAAGUCGAAAAAUGGAUGCGGAGUCCUCCAUUUUGGUGCCCAGUCGAGCGAAUUCCACUGGAUAACUAGAGGCGGGACUCCAGUUCGGCAGAUGAAAGCUAACAUUCGUGGGAUUUGGAUUGCUGUGGAGAAAUUAUCAUUAGUUUCGAUUAAAAAAAAGAGUUAUAUUUAAAUGGCAUAUACCCGGUCUUCGCAAAGCUAACCCACAGAUGGAGCAUUAAUUCGCGGAGUUCCAGAUCCUUUUGCGUCGGCACCGCACUCACAAAUAACUCCCGGCCAAUGGGGAACAAGUACUGGAGCUCCUCGGCAUGGCACGCUCCAUAGAACUCGUUUCGGCCGCCCUUGAAAAUCUCCGUAAAACUGGCAGCUCCCUUGUGAUCGAAUAGGUAUACAUAGGUGGGGGCCACGUCCUCUUGGGACAUGCGGAGGCGCAAGUACUCAUCGAUUCCGGCCACAAACCAUCCAUCCGAGAUCAGCUAAAAUGGAAUUGGCGAUCCGUCCACUCACGUCGGUCAGGUUCUGGUGGUUGGCCUUGUCGUAAUCGUGGCCCGACUUGAAGUAGAAGCUUUCGAUGCGCUGCGUAAUCGUUUGCCGCACGGAAUCGUCAUGAUGAUCGUAGUUGAGCACGACGGGCAGGACCUGCUCAAACUGAGACUUAAACUCGGCCAACAGCUGGGGAAGAUUGAGCAGGGCGGCGGUCUUCAGGAGACCUUCCUCGGCGGUGGCGCCCACCAUGAGUGGAAGUUGCAGUCCAUGUGGCUUGGCCGCCUGGCGAGGUGCCACUGUGAGGAAGGCGCCAUCGUGCUCCGGUUCGACCACGGGCGGAAAUGGUAUCAUCGGAUCAAAGUCCCAGACCUGCAAUACAAAAGAAAGCUAAAGGUAAAGCUUGACCUUCCCUUCACCAUAUUUGUUUAAUAACAGCUGCAUUGUACUCAUUUUUGGUCAAUACCAGCUCUACCUUUUUUCAACAAAAGUCUUGCUGGUGACACUCUCCGUUUUGUAUAUCAAUUGUAACAAAAGUAAUUUACAUAAGUGGCGAUUUGGAGAGCCUUCAUUGAAAUUGGUUAUAAGGCUACGUCUAGCUUUGAAUGUAAAUUGCAUAAUUGUACUAUCAGGUUAGUUAAAACUCCUUAAUUUUGCGAAUUAAUUAAUUACCCUGUGCAAAUCUUUUGCAGACUACAAGUACUUACGAACAUGUCGUACAGGGAGGCCACUAUAUCCUCCGCUGGCUUCUUCCUCAGGCACUCCAGUUUUUCCGGCCAUUCACCGGCGUUGCCGCAGCCCACUAUUUGGGCCAAUUUGGUUGCCCUUCCAGCGGCCACUCCCUUAUGUGCAGGCUGUGCCCAGGGAUUGAAAUAGGUGCCAGACUGGGCGAUACCUCGAUGCAGUAGGCCGCGCGACUUCUCCGACAGCAUGUGAUAGGUGACACUGGCACCUCCGGCGCUCUCGCCAAAGACCGUAACACUGUUCGGAUCACCACCAAAUGAUGCAAUGUUCGCACGAACCCAGUGCAGAACCUCCAGUUGAUCCUUCAAGCCAUUGUUGCCGGGACAAUCGAGCGUUUCUGUGCUAAGGAAUCCCAAUGGUCCCAAUCGAAAGUUGGCCGAAACCAAGACGAUGUCGUGGUCGAGCAGGAAAUCAGGACCGUAAAAGCUACUAAUACCGGAGCCACACUGCCAGCCGCCGCCAUGGAACCACACCAUCACAGGCAAAGAUCCAUUGGUUCUCGGCCUCUCCGGCGUGUAAACGUUAAGAUAAAGGCAAUCCUCAGAACCCUCCAGUAUCAUGUCGCGCCGGAAGGGAUCACGCUGCAGGCAGAUGGGUGCAUCCUUGAUCGCCAAUCGUUCACCCUCCCAAGGGGCCUUCGGCACGGGCGGACGAAAGCGAAGAUCGUCGAGAGGUGGCUCUGCAUAUGGCACACCCAUAAACGCUCGCAUAUGCCGGCCAUUGUGUGUUGUCAAAUGGCGUCCAAUUAGCCAACCGCCGUGGGAUAAACGAACGUGCAAGCACUGCGAAUUGCGUCCAUCGCUCCAUUGGAUGCAAAUGCACAACAAAAUCACCCGAAUCGACCAAAGGCCAGCGUCUUUUGACAUCGUGCUCCUGCGCUUGAAGUCCGAGUUCAGACUGAUUUCGCUGGUGCACAGCACGCGUAGUUUUAAGAUUACAACAUCAUCAUAAAGUCAGCUAUCUCAGCGCGCCAGCUUCCGAAGCGAACUUGUUUGCCGAAUUUUUUGUUAAGCGGCCCGUCUCUUAGCUCAUUAAUUCUGCUUAUUUUCAUACCCUCAGCGGAGUAUUUUAAAUAUGGAAACCAUAUUACAAGUGGAAGGGUGUGCAGACGCCAAGGUGCAGCAGCGAUAUCUUUCUUGCCACUUUGCUGCGUGAUCAGCAUCAGCAUCAACAUCGCCAUCAGCAUCGACAUUAAUUUCGGAUGUUUAGGUUUCAUUUUGGAACACUGCGCAAAUUUGGUCAAAUCGAGCCGAAAACCGUGGUUUGAGGUUGUUGGUGCUUUGAAACAUAAUGAAAUGCCAAUACUCUGACAAUUAAGAAUCUACAAC